rnacentral:rRNA from 1 species
UACAGAGGGGGCAAGCGUUGUUCGGAAUUACUGGGCGUAAAGGGCGCGUAGGCGGCUUUAUAAGUCGGGGGUGAAAGCCUGUGGCUCAACCACAGAAUUGCCUUCGAUACUGUAUGGCUUGAGACCGGAAGAGGUAAGUGGAACUGCGAGUGUAGAGGUGAAAUUCGUAGAUAUUCGCAAGAACACCAGUGGCGAAGGCGGCUUACUGGUCCGGUUCUGACGCUGAGGCGCGAAAGCGUGGGGAGCAAACAGG